UUUCCGUAGGUGAACCUGCGGAAGGAUCAUUAUUGAAUCCUCAGGAUGUCGCUGGCCAGCCCCAAAAGGGUUGGCAUGUGCACUCCGCCUUCAACCCACCUGUGCACUUAUCGUAGGUCAAUAGAGGGGAAACCCCUUUGCCUAUGCUUUUUACACACACUAUUAGUAUCAGAAUGUAACACAGUAGACCGUCAGGUCGAAAUAACAAUACAACUUUCAACAACGGAUCUCUUGGUUCUC
rnacentral:misc_RNA from 1 species